GUAGAUCUGAUAAAAGAAACCACUAGAGAAAAUGAUCGACUGACAACAAAAACCAAAAAGUUCACAGAGCCAACGUCUGAGAGAGUGUAGAUCUCCUUUCACCUCGCUGAAAAACUAUCGGCACCCCAAGAAACUCGCCAGAAAAAUAGCCGACAAUCAGAAACUCGCCGGAAAAUUAUUGGCAACCUGUCGAAAAACUGUCGGCCCGUAUGGCCAGAAAUCAAGUGGAUAUCAUCUCCCUCAAGCCCUGCGUUCUCAUCAUUGUUGAAG
rnacentral:lncRNA from 1 species